UAAUAUUCCUGUACUUGGUGUUACUGCGAAGGGGGGACGGAGAAGGCUAUGUUAGCCGGGCGACGGUUGUCCCGGUUUAAGCAUGUAGGCGGAGGUUCCAGGUAAAUCCGGUACCUUUUUAACGCUGAGGUGUGAUGACGAGGCACUACGGUGCUGAAGUAACAAAUGCCCUGCUUCCAGGAAAAGCCUCUAAGCAUCAGGUAACACGAAAUCGUACCCCAAACCGACACAGGUGGUCAGGUAGAGAAUACCAAGGCGCUUGAGAGAACUCGGGUGAAGGAACUAGGCAAAAUGGUGCCGUAACUUCGGGAGAAGGCACGCUGAUAUGUAGGUGAAGUGAUUUACUCAUGGAGCUGAAAUCAGUCGAAGAUACCAGCUGGCUGCAACUGUUUAUUAAAAACACAGCACUGUGCAAACACGAAAGUGGACGUAUACGGUGUGACGCCUGCCCGGUGCCGGAAGGUUAAUUGAUGGGGUUAUCCGUAAGGAGAAGCUCUUGAUCGAAGCCCCGGUAAACGGCGGCCGUAACUAUAACGGUCCUAAGGUAGCGAAAUUCCUUGUCGGGUAAGUUCCGACCUGCACGAAUGGCGUAAUGAUGGCCAGGCUGUCUCCACCCGAGACUCAGUGAAAUUGAACUCGCUGUGAAGAUGCAGUGUACCCGCGGCAAGACGGAAAGACCCCGUGAACCUUUACUAUAGCUUGACACUGAACACUGGUCCUUGAUGUGUAGGAUAGGUGGGAGGCUUUGAAGUGUGGACGCCAGUCUGCAUGGAGCCAUCCUUGAAAUACCACCCUUUAAUGGCUGGUGUUCUAACGUGGACCCGUAAUCCGGGUUGCGGACAGUGUCUGGUGGGUAGUUUGACUGGGGCGGUCUCCUCCUAAAGAGUAACGGAGGAGCACGAAGGUUAGCUAAUCCUGGUCGGACAUCAGGAGGUUAGUGCAAAGGCAUAAGCUAGCUUGACUGCGAGAGUGACGGCUCGAGCAGGUGCGAAAGCAGGUCUUAGUGAUCCGGUGGUUCUGAAUGGAAGGGCCAUCGCUCAACGGAUAAAAGGUACUCCGGGGAUAACAGGCUGAUACCGCCCAAGAGUUCAUAUCGACGGCGGUGUUUGGCACCUCGAUGUCGGCUCAUCACAUCCUGGGGCUGAAGUAGGUCCCAAGGGUAUGGCUGUUCGCCAUUUAAAGUGGUACGCGAGCUGGGUUUAGAACGUCGUGAGACAGUUCGGUCCCUAUCUGCCGUGGGCGCUGGAGAAUUGAGGGGGGCUGCUCCUAGUACGAGAGGACCGGAGUGGACGCAUCACUGGUGUUCGGGUUGUCAUGCCAAUGGCAUUGCCCGGUAGCUAAAUGCGGAAGAGAUAAGUGCUGAAAGCAUCUAAGCACGAAACUUGCCCCGAGAUGAGUUCUCCCUGAGACU
rnacentral:rRNA from 1 species